rnacentral:rRNA from 1 species
AACGUAGGUGGCGAGCGUUAUCCGGAUUCAUUGGGCGUAAAGAGCUUGUAGGUGGCGGCGUAAGUUGGACGUGAAAUCGCCCGGCUCAACCGGGCGGGGUCGUUCAAUACUGCGCGGCUGGAGGAGGUCAGAGGGAAGUGGAAUUCCUGGUGUAGCAGUGAAAUGCGUAGAUAUCAGGAGGAACACCCGUGGCGAAGGCGGCUUCCUGGCCUGUUCUUGACGCUGAGGCGCGAAAGCUAGGGGAGCAAACAGG